rnacentral:rRNA from 1 species
UACGUAGGGUGCGAGCGUUGUCCGGAAUUAUUGGGCGUAAAGGGCUCGUAGGCGGUUUGUCGCGUCGGGAGUGAAAUCCACUGGCUUAACUGGUGGCUUGCUUUCGAUACGGGCAGACUGGAGGUAUGCAGGGGAGAACGGAAUUCCUGGUGUAGCGGUGAAAUGCGCAGAUAUCAGGAGGAACACCAAUAGCGAAGGCAGCUCGCUGGGACGGUACUGACGCUAAGGCGCGAAAGCGUGGGGAGCGAACAGG